rnacentral:tRNA from 1 species
GCCGCCUUAGCUCAGUGGUAGAGCACCUCCAUGGUAAGGAGGGGGUCUCGGGUUCAAGUCCCGAAGGUGGCUCCA